rnacentral:lncRNA from 1 species
AUGGCAGUGCCUGCUUUUCAUCUUUGCUGCCCAUGAGCAAUUGAAAUGUAGUUGUGUGUGCUCUUUUGGAGAACGAUUUUAAAUCAGCCGAAAUGCUCUGUAAUGUUACUAACCUUCUAGCAGGAACAGCUACAUAAUUUAGGGAGAGGCACGGGUGGGAACCGGGGCUGCGCACAGCGCUUGCGGGCCAGCUAGAGUUCCGGGUGGGCGUGGGGUUGGCGGGCCCGCACUCGGAGCCG